GAAAACGGCUAAGUGAGCACCAGGUGAGACGACAACGUAUUUGUUCUUUGCCCUUCCCCUUUUUCUUUUCUUAGAUGAAAUCUGCUUUGAUGCCACUGCUU